UCGUCUGACUGUGAGUCCCAGCAGCUCUCAGUUCUUUAAAGGAGACUUUGUGUCUCUGAGCUGUGAGGAGGACGACAGCUCUGCUGGAUGGACUCUGAGGAGAAACACAAGCAAGGGAAACAGGACUCUGUGUGGAGAUGGGUUUGGAAGAUUAGACGGUAUUUUAUGCAUCAUCAACCACAUUGUCCUACUGGACAGUGGAGUUUACUGGUGUGAGUCCAGAGAGGGUCCCAUCAGUAACAUGGUUAACCUGACAGUCACUGACCAUAAAUUCAUCACAGCUGAGUCUGGACAGGACGUCACUCUGACAUGUCGAGCUCCAAACAACAACAUCAAAUUUUUAAAGUGGACAAAAGCUUACCUGCAGUCAGAAGUUGUCAUUUUGCACUGGGAUGGUCACUUUGAUCCAUUUUAUCAGCAUCCAUCUUUUAAGAACCGGGUGGAUCUGCAGGACAGACAGAAUGUGACGAUUAAUGACAUACGAGUGUUGAGCUGAUGUGAGAGAAACACGCUUAUGGGAUCUCAGCAGCAUCUACCUGAGUGUUGUUGAUCCUCCAGAGAAACACACCACCACACCUCCACCUACAUUGAGCAGCUCACCUCCAC